rnacentral:lncRNA from 1 species
GUUUUUUAUGUUUAGCUCACAUAAUAUAGUUUCAAAUAUACAUUAAGGUGUCUGUAAUACAAUAAAUGUGGCAAAAACAAAUGUAGAAUUUAAUAAAUGCAUUUCUAUAGCUUCUUGAGGUGUCAAGAUGGAGGCGCCCGGGCUUCAAAACAGUGCACUUUGAGCUAUGAAAAACGAAGCAAAAUUGUAGUACGUUUGCUGUUUUAAUUCUAAUGAGAGAAGUGUAAAAAAGGCACAGUGCAUACCAGCUAUAACAUUUCUAAUGUGCAGUUGACAAUCCUUUUUCAGUCUUUAUCGAGUGCGUGACAAGUUUUAAAUACCGGCUAGCAGUAGUCCUACAUAUGCAACAUGAACCUUACGGUACAACAAGCAGGUCAAUGGAUUUAGACUUGUGUCCAAGUGCAGCCCCUCCCACCCCUAACCAGGGAGCUCCUGUGGGAGGGGGAAGCACAAGCACCACACUGCCUGGACCAAUCAUCAUGCAGCACCACCUCUCCAUUACAUCUUAGUUUCCAAGGCGACAGGCAGGGCCUUUCUCCUGAAAGGCACCGCAUCAUCACCAUCCAUCCACCCAGGGCUGGUCGAGAGGCAGCAGUAGCAGGCAGCAAGCAGCAGCCCCGCAGUGGGUCACAUCAGGCACCUCCCUCCCCCUCUCUCUCUUGCCUCAUGUCGCGCUGCAAGUCUCCGCCAACACUCAGGAAAAGGAAAAUGGAGUAAGAAGAGAAGAGGAAUGUGGUAGGUAGGUGCUGGAUUUUUUGUUAUGUCUGUGUUUAUCUAUUUGUGUUGCGUUAGUGCUGUGUUUUACAGGGAGGCAGAAGGGAGGGUUUGUGUGUGUCUAAUCCUCUCUAGCAGGCUGAUUUAAUGGGCUGUUUGCCGUUAGAAUGAGAGAAGGAGGCAGUGGAGAAGGGGGAGCCCCUCUGCUUUGUUAAAGGGGCCUGGCCUGCAGAGCUAGGAGGCUGCCUGCCGCAUACACAAACACCCUUGUCCCAGCCCCAGCCCCAGCCCUAGCCCC